UACGAAGGGGGCUAGCGUUGCUCGGAAUUACUGGGCGUAAAGCGUGCGCAGGCGGCUUUGCAAGACAGAUGUGAAAUCCCCGGGCUUAACCUGGGAACUGCAUUGUGACUGCAUGGCUGGAGUGCGGCAGAGGGGGAUGGAAUUCCGCGUGUAGCAGUGAAAUGCGUAGAUAUGCGGAGGAACACCGAUGGCGAAGGCAAUCCCCUGGGCCUGCACUGACGCUCAUGCACGAAAGCGUGGGGAGCAAACAGG
rnacentral:rRNA from 1 species